UGCAGUCGAGCGAACAGAUAAGGAGCUUGCUCCUUUGACGUUAGCGGCGGACGGGUGAGUAACACGUGGGUAACCUACCUAUAAGACUGGGAUAACUUCGGGAAACCGGAGCUAAUACCGGAUAACAUUUGGAACCGCAUGGUUCUAAAGUGAAAGAUGGUUUUGCUAUCACUUAUAGAUGGACCCGCGCCGUAUUAGCUAGUUGGUAAGGUAACGGCUUACCAAGGCGACGAUACGUAGCCGACCUGAGAGGGUGAUCGGCCACACUGGAACUGAGACACGGUCCAGACUCCUACGGGAGGCAGCAGUAGGGAAUCUUCCGCAAUGGGCGAAAGCCUGACGGAGCAACGCCGCGUGAGUGAUGAAGGGUUUCGGCUCGUAAAACUCUGUUAUUAGGGAAGAACAAAUGUGUAAGUAACUGUGCACGUCUUGACGGUACCUAAUCAGAAAGCCACGGCUAACUACGUGCCAGCAGCCGCGGUAAUACGUAGGUGGCAAGCGUUAUCCGGAAUUAUUGGGCGUAAAGCGCGCGUAGGCGGUUUCUUAAGUCUGAUGUGAAAGCCCACGGCUCAACCGUGGAGGGUCAUUGGAAACUGGGAAACUUGAGUGCAGAAGAGGAAAGUGGAAUUCCAUGUGUAGCGGUGAAAUGCGCAGAGAUAUGGAGGAACACCAGUGGCGAANGCGACUUUCUGGUCUGUAACUGACGCUGAUGUGCGAAAGCGUGGGGAUCAAACAGGAUUAGAUACCCUGGUAGUCCACGCCGUAAACGAUGAGUGCUAAGUGUUUNGGGGUUUCCGCCCCUUAGUGCUGCAGCUAACGCAUUAAGCACUCCGCCCUGGGGAGUACGACCCGCAAGGUUGAACUCAAGGAAUUGA
rnacentral:rRNA from 1 species